GCUGGGUUAGCUCAGUUGGUUAGAGCAUGGUGCUAAUAACACCAAGUUCACAGCUUCAAUCCCUGCUUACUGCA
rfam:Pelecanus crispus contig97587, whole genome shotgun sequence.